rnacentral:rRNA from 1 species
AUGGCAGAGUUAGGGCUGAAGGAGGAAGACAUGGACGACGUGAUCUUCGAUGAGAAGGACGUACCGCAGGCGGCGGCGCGCUGGAUUGCUCUCGCGCGGGUCAACUCCGACAAACCCUACAGUCAGUAUUGGUUUUUCAAGAACAUGAGAGCGGCAUGGGAUCUCGCUCAAGAAGUCAAGUUCAAGCCCUUAGAGGAGAACCUCUACAUCAUCCAAUUUUCCUGCCUAGGGGAUUGGGAGAGGGUCAUGCGCAAGGGACCGUAG